rnacentral:snRNA from 1 species
AACCUUGCGCAGUGGCAGUAUCGUAACCAAUGAAGGCCUCCUGAGGUGCGAUUAUUGGCUAGUUGAAAUUUUCUCAGU